rnacentral:rRNA from 1 species
GGCUCAGAACGAACGCUGGCGGCGUGCUUAACACAUGCAAGUCGAACGAUGAAGCCGCUUCGGUGGUGGAUUAGUGGCGAACGGGUGAGUAACACGUGGGCAAUCUGCCCUGCACUCUGGGACAAGCCCUGGAAACGGGGUCUAAUACCGGAUAUUACCUGGUGAGGCAUCUCAUCGGGUGGAAAGCUCCGGCGGUGCAGGAUGAGCCCGCGGCCUAUCAGCUUGUUGGUGGGGUGAUGGCCUACCAAGGCGACGACGGGUAGCCGGCCUGAGAGGGCGACCGGCCACACUGGGACUGAGACACGGCCCAGACUCCUACGGGAGGCAGCAGUGGG